CGUGUAGGCGGCACGAUAAGUUGGAUGUGAAAGCUCCCGGCUAAACUGGGAGAGGGCGUUCAAUACUGUCGAGCUUGAGGAUGGGAGAGGGAGGUGGAAUUCCGGGUGUAGUGGUGAAAUGCGUAGAUAUCCGGAGGAACACCAGUGGCGAAGGCGGCCUCCUGGCCCAUUUCUGACGCUCAGACGCGAAAGCUAGGGUAGCAAACGG
rnacentral:rRNA from 1 species